GGAGACCACAACGUUGAUAGGUGGGGUGUGUAAGCGUAGCGAUACGUUGAGCUAACCCAUACUAAUUACCCGUGAGGCUUAACCAU
rnacentral:rRNA from 1 species